UGGAAAAGAGGGUGGUUGAACAAGCCUCUGCUGAAUGGAAAUACAAAGCUGCAAUACACUAACUUGGAACAUACUUCUUUGCUGAGACUGCAUGCUACCUUUGAAUGGGAACUUAAAAACUUUCGAAUCCAACAAAACCAUUUAGAGAUUGCAAGAAGCUUCUCUUACUUGUCAUCUUAUCUUCUGGUCAACUCGCCGCCGCAUCUACUGUAGUAGAAAGUUCCAUACAAUCCUAGGAAUCAAAAGUGAAGCGACGACAAGACUGACAUCUGCUUUCUGGAAGACGCCAUUGUGCCAACUACAGCUGUGGGGUCUGCAUGAGAAAGGAACAAAAAUAGCCCAAGUAACCAAGGAGCGUGCAGUUGAGAGCGUGCGCCCUAUUGUUUGUGGCUCUGACACUAUGUGAUGGAACAAGGAACGUGGACGUGGCUACCCUGUUCCAGGACAGCCUCCCCAUUGAGAGGGACAAGCAUUGUCCAGAAGCAGCAUCUACCGGUACAACAUGGUCUUCCUCAAAGAAUACAGGGCUGUUCGCUACAGGAGGAACCUCUGAAUUGGAGAAAAGUCUCUUACACAGGCUGACCGAUUUCUCUUGGUGUUCAGAGUCUUAGUGUUUGUCUAGCACCAUUUGAAAUCGGUUAUGAUGUAGGGGGAAAAGCAACAGUAAUUGGAACUUCACUUUUCCCCCCGUGCACAAUUCCUACGCGAUGACCACAGUGGCUCCAGAAUACUACCAGAAAGCGUAUUACCGGUACCUUGCUACAUAAAUACACAGGUAUUUACAAAUGAACGCCUUUGUGUUAGUUGUAUGCGGCUGUUCAAUAUGCUGUGUAAAGUGAAAGGCAUGGAGCAGACGUUUCCCCUUGGAAAGAUGCUUAAGGUAUUUGAAAUGCAUCAUCUAAAAAGAUUUAGCUCAAACUCUUGAAUUUCAGGGAGGUGCAGGGAUGUGCGAGAGAGAACACAUAUGUGUAUGUAUGCAGAAGUGCCUCCCUUCCUGACUGUUAGCAAGCAGACAAGUGGCCCUUUGAUUCUGCAAGCUUACAAACUAUGUCACCUACUCUGAGCUACUAUUUUCAAUAAAAAUUUGUACUGCAUUGUAUUG